CACCCCAUCAGUGCCACCACGGGGCCAUUUGUCACCACUGUCACGUGCCACCAGGGCAGUGCCACCCAUCAGUGCCACCACAGGGCCAUUUGUCCCCACCACCACAGUGCCCCCCCCCACCAUCCCCACGUGACUCAGCCACGCCCCCUUUUUGCCAAGGUCUAUAUUUAUUGGGUGAGACCCAAGCCCCGCCCCCCCAAAAAGCCCCGCCCCCACCCGAGGCGGGGGGCGGGGCCGACACAACAACGACUAUGGGAGAGGGGCGGGGCGUGAGCGGGGUGGGCGUGGCCCGUGCGGAGGGGGCGUGGCCGGGCGGAGGGGGCGGGGCCGAGGGGCGCCCCCUAGCGGAUGGUGUAGCGCACGUAGGGCACCUCGAUGUCGGCGUCGCUGUCGUCGUUGCAGCACAGCUCGAACACCAGAGCCUUGACGUGGCGGCCCAGCUUCUUCUUGGACACCCGAGUGACGAUCUCCGACAUCCUGAGGGGACAGGGGACGUCAGGGACGGGGUAGGGACACGGCAGGGACAGAGGGGACAUGGCAGGGACACGGCAGGGACACAGCAGGGACAUUGGGGACAUGACAGGGACAUGGCAGGGACACGGCAGGGAUGUCAGGGACGGGGUAGGGACACGGCAGGGACAGAGGGGACACGGCAGGGACACGGCA
rnacentral:lncRNA from 1 species